rnacentral:rRNA from 1 species
GUCUACGGCCAUGCCACCCUGAACAAGCCCGAUCCCGUCUGAUCUCAGAUGCUAAGCAGGGUCACGCCUGGUUAGUAAUUGGAUGGGAGACCACCUAGGAAGACCAGGUACUGUAGGCG